rnacentral:rRNA from 1 species
AUACAGAGGGUGCAAGCGUUAUUCGGAAUUACUGGGCGUAAAGCGCGCGUAGGCGGAUGAUUAGGUCAGUUGUGAAAGCCCUGGGCUCAACCUAGGAACUGCAUCUGAUACUGGUCGUCUAGAGUUUAAGAGAGGGAAGUGGAAUUCCAGGUGUAGCAGUGAAAUGCGUAGAUAUCUGGAGGAACAUCAGUGGCGAAGGCGACUUCCUGGCUUAAAACUGACGCUGAGGUGCGAAAGCGUGGGUAGCGAACGGGAUUAGAAACCCUAGUAGUCC